AUCCGAUUUACCAAUGUGCAAGGCAGCUGGUCGUCCGCUUUUUUUUAAUUGGCACCCUCUCGACAAGUCUUUUCCUAUCUAAUAUGGCCCCGAGAAGAAUAUCGCGCUUUGAAAAAUGGAGUUUCGUGGCAGGUUCCUGGACUGUCACAGUGUUGUGACUCAGCAGUCAGCGGCAUCGCAGUGACACCAGAUGCCAGCACCAUGCUGGAUGAAGUAGUGGGAGGUAAAAAUAACUGUGACACAUGCAGAAGGCAUUCGUAGGAUUCUCAGUCUGGACACAGCCAGGGGUCCCCAUGUUGAUCUCCCACAGUGUUGUAAGAUACUGUCAAGAUUUUUUUUGUUGUUGUUGUUCUUGAACCAUUUCCUUUUUAGAACAUUUAUGAUUUUAUGUUCACUGGAAUCGUAAUGAUAAUAAAACUGGGGCAUUUCUAAAUCA